rnacentral:rRNA from 1 species
GAUGAACGCUGGCGGCGUGCUUAACACAUGCAAGUCGAACGAAGCACUUAUGACAGAUUCUUCGGAUGAUGGAUUAAAUGACUGAGUGGCGGACGGGUGAGUAACGCGUGGGUAACCUGCCUCAUACAGGGGGAUAACAGUUAGAAAUGACUGCUAAUACCGCAUAAGCGCACAGUACCGCAUGGUACGGUGUGAAAAACUCCGGUGGUAUGAGAUGGACCCGCGUCUGAUUAGCUAGUUGGUGGGGUAACGGCCUACCAAGGCGACGAUCAGUAGCCGGCCUGAGAGGGUGAACGGCCACAGUGGGACUGAGACACGGCCCAAACUCCUACGGGAGGCAGCAGUGGGGAAUAUUGCACAAUGGGGGAAACCCUGAUGCAGCGACGCCGCGUGAGCGAUGAAGUAUUUCGGUAUGUAAAGCUCUAUCAGCAGGGAAGAAAAUGACGGUACCUGACUAAGAAGCACCGGCUAAUACGUGCCAGCAGCCGCGGUAAUAC